rnacentral:piRNA from 1 species
UGGCCUUUAGAAGGGACUUUCGUGGA